rnacentral:rRNA from 1 species
AUUGAACGCUGGCGGCAGGCUUAACACAUGCAAGUCGAGCGGGGGAAGGUAGCUUGCUACCGGACCUAGCGGCGGACGGGUGAGUAAUGCUUAGGAAUCUGCCUAUUAGUGGGGGACAACAUCUCGAAAGGGAUGAUAAUAGCGCAUACGUCCUACGGGAGAAAGCAGGGGAUCUUCGGACCUCGCGCUAAUAGAUGAGCCUAAGUCGGAUUAGCUAGUUGGUGGGGUAAAGGCCUACAAAGGCGACGAUCUGUAGCGGGUCUGAGAGGAUGAUCCGCCACACUGGGACUGAGACACGGCCCAGACUCCUACGGGAGGCAGCAGUGGGGAAUAUUGGACAAUGGGGGGAACCCUGAUCCAGCCAUGCCGCGUGUGUGAAGAAGGCCUUAUGGUUGUAAAGCACUUUAAGCGAGGAGGAGGCUACUUUAGUUAAUACCUAGAGAUAGUGGAUGUUACUCGCAGAAUAAGCACCGGCUAACUCUGUGCCAGCAGCCGCCGUAA